rnacentral:rRNA from 1 species
AUGACUAGGGAUAACCUUAAGAAGAGACACAUCAUCAAACCCCUUGAUUGUGUUUACUGCUUGGAACGAGAGUCUUGUUCUCACCUAUUUUUUGAAUGUAUAGUUGCCAAACAUCUCUGGGCCCACAUUGAGGAAUAUUUCUCUAGUCAGAUUGGCUCAUCCUUCGAAUCUGUCGCCAGAUUCUGGAUUGCUACCAAAAAGUGCUCAGUUUUAAACAAUGUUAGCUCAGCUGUCCUUUGCUGCCUUUGGAAAUAUAGAAAUGCUAUGAUUUUCAGCAACACCUCCUGGAUUUCUAUUCUGCAGGUCUUGAGGUUGAUCAGGAACAUGGUGAGGAACUGGGCGAUUUUCUCCUCCGGAUCGGACAAUGACAAGUUGACGAGCUCCGUGGAAACCCUAAAAAGAUCCCUCCAGAAACCGUUGGCGAUCACUUGUGGCUGA